CGUACUGUCCGCAACUUGGGAAGAUUACGUGACGAUAAACAUGUGCUUCGAAACGAAAUUUGGAUGUUAAUAGAACUGUUGUUAGCUAAACGAAGAGCAACCGUUGUACAUUAUUCAAGAAUAUUUCUCUGCUGAUUGAACAGUGUCUGCCUCAGCUGUAGUUCAGCAUGUUGGGUGCAAGUAGCCAGCAAUGGCACCACUAAAGAGGCAGUCACAUGGGUGAACAUCCGAGAAGCAGAAAGCAUUCGGAAGUCAGGGAGAUAAAAGAAGAUUCCAAAAAUCUGCAUCGAUGAUUCUUUAUGGACAAAAUCCCUCCAAACAAAAUUGAGUUGUAUAUCAGAGCCUGUAAGCAGAGGACAAAUAUUGGACCCAUUUACAAUUAAGCUGGGGAGAUGGUUUGUCACCAUGACUUUUCAGCUGUGUUCUGGAAUACAUGAUAAGGGAAUGUUACAAGGAAAAUCCUAAAAACAUAAGAAUUGGAACGAAGAAAGAUCAAAUAAACUUAAAUAGCUUGGGAUUUGCAGAUGACAGCAUUACUAGCUAAUAAUGUUCAGGAAGCCAGAAACCAAAUAACAAGAUUAACAGGCACUAUUAGUCUGGCUAGCAUCAUGUAGGGGCAUUGACAUGUCUAAGAGUUUGCGUAUUUUACUGUAGCUCAUCAAAGGGUAACUCCAAAAGCUAGCAAGUUUUCUUUCUUUUGUGUGUGCCUAUCAACAACUCAAUGCCUCUGCUUUGUGUUGAGUAGUUUUCUUUAAUUGUAAAGUAUUUACAUUCUACAAAACUUUCCUACAACAUUUAAUGUGAUAAUGAUAUAGUCUGCAGAGUUCAAAUAUUACUGAGUUGUUUACGUGUGUAUGUUCUUUUCUGAAUGUCUACUAGUUAUUUAUUUUCUGAACUCAGUAGUGCAGUAUGCUUCUCCUCUCAGAUAAAUACGCAUUAUGUGAAGCAAUGUUUUUUGUGAUAUUAGUUGGUUACAUAUUUUCUGAAAUCUUUUGUAUGUAUUUUCUCACAGCUCAAUACCUGUCAUGCGAAGCAAUGUACAGAGUGCUGAACAUGUUAGUCCCUCGUGGGAGUGUGUUAGGCCCAUUACUGUUUCUCAUUUGCAUUAAUGACUUCCCACUGUGGAUCACAUAACAUGCAAAAUUUAUAUAUGCCAUACUGAGUAACUAUUUUACUAUUGUGAUUUAUCUGUUUAAUUAUUAACUUUGUCAGUCACUUACUAACCACACAAUUUUAGUUGGCCUCUGAACAGAGGAAACUGGGAGCAGAAACUUGCAAUUGACUCCUAAUCACAUUUG